rnacentral:rRNA from 1 species
UACAGAGGGUGCGAGCGUUAAUCGGAAUUACUGGGCGUAAAGCGCACGUAGGCGGCUUGGUAUGUCGGGUGUGAAAUCCCCGGGCUCAACCUGGGAACUGCAUCUGUGACUGCAUUGCUGGAGUGCGGCAGAGGGGGAUGGAAUUCCGCGUGUAGCAGUGAAAUGCGUAGAUAUGCGGAGGAACACCGAUGGCGAAGGCAAUCCCCUGGGCCUGCACUGACGCUCAUGCACGAAAGCGUGGGGAGCAAACAGG